rnacentral:lncRNA from 1 species
GAGAAGGACUCUAAUUAGCACUUUUAUCCAUUGUCGUGUUUGUUUAUUUUUCUUUUAUCAUAAUUCAUAAUAUGUAUUAUAUUGGUGAUAACCUAUCAGAGUUGUUGGAAUUGUUGAAAAAGAACGAAUUUGAUUGGUUGAAAUAGAUUAUAUAAAAAAGGAAUAAAAUACGUUGGUACCCUUGCAUCGUCUAAACAAAUUAUCCUCAGUAUUGGACCAAUCAUCAGCAAGGCAACUUCCCCUGACUGCACUCUCACGUUCAUGAUCAUCAUGCCGAAGAAAACUCGCCUUUUUUCGCGGGUUUCUAAUAACGAAGUUUUUCGUGCCCAUUUCGUUAUUUAUGGCAAGUAAUCCUCACUCCAAAGCCUCCUAUCACAUCAACAACUUAAAAGUCUUCAAGAAACACAAGAUUCAAGAAGACGAUAAUUAAACGCUUCAUCAUUCAAUUUGGACGUAGCAAAGUUAUUUGUGUCGUGUAACAUCCCUUUAAAUGUUCUGGGACAUCUCAAUUUCUCCAGUGUAUUGAAAAAUAUACUGGAAAAACUUCUCCAGGUCGAUGGGUUGUUAACAACUUGGUUGGGGAAGUAUGUCAAGGAGUUUUUAAUAGAAUAAAAGAAGAAGUGGAAGAAAAGGAUAUUUUUUUUGCACUAAAUGAGACAAGAGAUCAUCAAGGAAGGUCAAUGAUGGCAAUUUUGAUUGACCCUUUGGAGGGAAUUUUCUGUGGGAGACCUUAUCUUAUUGAGUUGAUUGAUAUUGAGAUUGCAAACAAUGUAAAGAACGUCGUCAUAAGCUCAGUUUAUAAGUUAUUGGGAGAAGAUUUUGUCCCGUGUAGACUUCAAGUUUUCAUCACUGAUUCUGCUUCGUAUUGUUUCAAAGCAGGGGAAGAUCUUCGAGAGAAAAAAAUCCCGGAAUUGAUUCACAUUACAUGUAUUGCUCAUAGAUUACAUAGAUUUGCAGAUAUGGUUCAACAAAAGUUUCCUCUAGCGAACGAACUUAUUUCCAAUAUGAAGAAGAUGUUUUUGAAUUCUGGAAGAAGAAAGAGUAUUAACUGCUUCGUACGAAAUUCCCCUCCCUCCAUCACCAAUUAUAACAAGAUAGGGAACUUGGUUAAAAGCAGUGAAGUACUACUAA